ACUGGAGUGGCUCAGUGGUUAAGAGCAGUUGCUUCUCUUGCAGAGGACCUGGGUUCAGCUCCCAGCACCCUUA
rnacentral:tRNA from 2 species